AAGAUAAACUCAAACUUAGUUUCAUGAGGUUAAAAGCAGAGACUCUAAAGACAGAUGGCCCUGGCCUGUGCUUAAAUCUUAGAUCUGCUGCUUACUAGCUGGGUGACCUGGGGCAAGCGGUUAAACUUCUCACUUCUCAGUUUUUGUCUGCAAAGUGGGGCUGAUGCUAAUAUCUGACCCCAUGAAGGUAAGGUGAGGGCUGUAUACGGUAACACACAUAAAGGACUUAGAAUAGUAAUUGGCACACAGUCAAGCACUCAACAAAUGCCAGCUCUUAUUCUACUGACUUGUCAGAAACCUAUGAAACCAGAUAACACAGGUGUCAAAGACCUGCUUCAUGAAUGGCUUUCUUACUGCAAACAACCCUCAUGACCUAAGGGAGUAAACAUAUUCCUUUUGGAACAGUUUACAUACAUCUCACAUGUUGGUUCAGCCCUUUCUUAAAGUUGCCAGAUGCUUCUACUUUUUCUUAUUUGUAAAAUUCCGGAAGAAUUGCUUUUAUAUUUGCCACUUGUACAAGGCUUACUAAUAAAAUUAAGAAAAACUCAUGAGCAUCAAAAUGCUAGACAUGUAAUAAUUAGUUUUAUGAACAGCAUAAUUUAUGUAUAUACAGAACAUUACUCUUGCAGUCAGCUUAUUAAUGUUUUGAAUAACAUUAAGGGAAUUAAGUAGUACAUAAUUAAUUUACAUUUAUUAGGAAGUAAUGUUGAUAGCAUCAUAGAUAAGCAAGCUAUAAAUUUAAUCAAGGAAAGUAGAGAAAUUUGAUGCAAUUUUCUGUAUGAACUACUAAAUUAUAUAUGAAGACAUCAAAUAAGUUUGUUAGGAUGGAAACAAAAGUUCAUUAUCCUAUUUAAGAAGAAUGUAUCUGAAAUAGAAUGCUAUUCACCCUUUCACUUCACCAUUCCAAAUGGAGUAUUUGGAAAUUACAUAUGAAUUACAUAACUCUUUUAGCCUCACUCCAUGGAUGAUAAGCAAAUAAUAGCACUAAGAUUACUGGGAGAAAACAUGAAAUAAAUAAAGACCCAAGCCUAGGGCAUCUCAACCUCUUCCCAAACCCUAACAUUUUCUCCUUUAAUGUAACUUCUCAAAAUCAAUUUCUUGAACUAUACCCUGGAAUCACAUUAAGGAGACAGAGAUCAGACCCUCACCGAAGAUUCAAAUUCGACUACUUUUUAAAGAAACAGUAUGGUUCAAGUGAGGCCCAAGUUAAAGUGGAGGAGGCUGACAAAGCUCUUAGAAACCAAUCACGUGAUAACGUGGCUUCAUUGGCCAGAUUCAACAAAAGCUGAAGCUGGCUCUGAGCAAGGUCUCACAGGUGCCAAGUUUAUCUGCUUUCAAGACAGCCAGUGGCAUAGCGAAUGCUUUAACUGCGGGAAAUGCUCUGUCUCCUUGGUGGGUAAAGGCUUCCUGACCCAGAACAAGGAAAUCUUCUGCCAAAAAUGUGGCUCCGGAAUGGACACUGACAUCUAGGAGACAGUCCUUGCCCACCUAAAAUCCAUUUUGCCUUCGUUGUCACUAAAGCCAGAACUC
rnacentral:lncRNA from 1 species